CUCCUCCACUCUGAACACCUGGGUCCCAGUGAAUUGGAAGCCCCUGCCCCUGGGGGCAGCAGCGAGGACAAGGGUGGGCUGCAGCCUCCAGAUUCCAAGGAUGACACCCCCAUGACCCUUCCAAAAGGGUCCACAGAACAAGAUGCUGCAUCCCCUGAGAAAGAGAAGAUGAACCCGCUGGAACAGUAUGAGCGAAAGGUGAAUGCGUCUGUUCCAAGGGGUUUCCCUUUCCACUCAUCGGAGAUUCAGAGGGAUGAGCUGCUGGGACAGGGGUGUCCCGUGAGGCUGUGUCGGGUCUGCUGAUCAUGGGAGCGGGCGGAGGCUCCCUCAUCGUCCUCUCCAUGCUGCUCCUGCGCAGGAAGAAGCCCUACGGGGCUAUCAGCCAUGGCGUGGUGGACCCCAUGCUGACCCUGGAGGAGCAGCAGCUCCGCGAACUGCAGCGGCACGGCUAUGAGAACCCCACUUACCGCUUCCUGGAGGAACGACCCUGACCCGGCCCCCUUCACCCCUUCAGCCGAGCCCAGACCUCCCCUCUUCCUGGAGCCCCAGAACCCCAACUCCCAGCCUAGGGCAGCAGGGAGUCUUGAAGUGAUCAUUUCACACCCUUUUGUGAGACGGCUGGAAAUUCUUAUUUCCCCUUUCCAAUUCCAAAAUUCCAUCCCUAAGAAUUCCCAGAUAGUCCCAGCAGCCUCCCCACGUGGCACCUCCUCACCUUAAUUUAUUUUUUAAGUUUAUUUAUGGCUCUUUAAGGUGACCGCCACCUUGGUCCUAGUGUCUAUUCCCUGGAAUUCACCCUCUCAUGUUUCCCUACUAACAUCCCAAUAAAGUCCUCUUCCCUACC
rnacentral:lncRNA from 1 species